UUAUUAGUCAAGAAAAGCAGAAUACAGUAGGACAACGCAUUUCAAAGGUUACACCUUCUUCUUCAGGUCCAUGCUAAGAAACGACUUACAGCACAACCAGAGGAAUAUCAUUAUUUUUCAUGCUUAUUAUAUAUGUAACAACAAGAAGACCUGGCUACAUGAUAUGAGGAAGUGGGUCCAGUUUGGAUGUAAUGGUGUUGUGAAGGAAAUAUUGCUCACGUUGGACAAGCACUGUUUAAAUACAGUCACC